rnacentral:sRNA from 1 species
AAUUGUUCGGUAGGUGAGGCUCCUACAGGGAUACGGACUGUUGCCGCGAAAUAGUGGAGACACUAUCAGAUGGUUUGAACAGGGUAUAUCGAAAACCAAGGUAUACUCUAAUACAGUUUCAUCGCCCUGCAGAGUUAAAGCUCAGACGAAUGUG